ensembl:lncRNA
CGCGGACGCCCUGUCGAGAGCAAUUUUGUAGUCUAGGAUUAAACACUAGAAGGAUUGUUUAAUUCUUAUGGAAGGGGGUGUUACGAACUUGUAUGUCCGUGUGUUUGUUUGUGCAGGUGCUGUGUUUUUGUCUAUGUUAAUUUAGCUGUGCCAGGGCCCUGUUCCGAUUGGUGCGUGGACUUACUGCCCCGGCGUGAUUGGAUCCAGCUGGAGGACCCGCCCAAUAAAAGGAGGCUGGAGUGCUACAGCGGGAGAGGUCCUCGCAUUUCUCUUCAUCACCCAGCAGUAGUCCUGUGGUAGCCGCUGGCUGCAGUAUACGUGCGAAAAUUGUGGAAGUGGAGUGGGUAGGGGUGAGCUGCCGUUUAUUUUGAUCACCUGUUUUCUCCUGUUUUUGAGUUGGUUAAGGAGGUCAGACUCUGUUUUUAUUUUGACUUUAUUUUGGUGAGGUCAGGGGUGCGGGAUUUGUGUAGGUUUGUUUUGUUUAUUGUUUUGGCCUUGGCUCACCCUGAAGUGUUGACACUCCCGUUUUGGUUCUCUUUAUUCACCUUGUAAAUAAAUCACUUCACAUCUAACGGAUUUGUUGCGUGUUGCGUGUGACUGCUUGGGUCUUGGGGAGGGAAGCGAGUGCCUCGCUCAUGUUAUGGCCUGGCCCUAGACGGGUCGUAACACUGCAGAAAGUGAAAUGCUCAGUUAGGGUGGUUUGUUAAGAUAAGAUGGAGCCUGAUUAUUCAAGACCUUGUAUGUCAAGAUAGGGAUUUUAAAUUAAAUUCUGGAAUUAACAGGGAGCCAGUGAAGUGAAGCCAAUAUGGGAGAAAUGUGCUCUCUCUUUCUAGUCCCUGUCUGUAGUCUUGCUUCACCAUUCUGGAUCAACUGAAACCUUUUCAGGGAAUUUUUAAGUUUAGUUCUGCUUAGGAAUAAUAAAUACAUGAGCUAAUUUUUCUGAGAAUUUUUUUUUUUCAUUUUAGAGAUUCUGCAAAUGCGAGAGAACAGUCCUGUGUAUUUCUUUAAUGUGCACACUGAAGUCAUAAUACCAAUUAAAACUGAGUCCAAGUUCAUUACAGUGUUACUGGAGGCCAAAGUAAUUCCAUCCAGAGUAAGUAAUCUGGUUAGACACCCUGUUUCUAAGAUUUAAUAGCUGAGUAUAAAGCCUCAGUUUUAUCUGAACUUAGAAGCAGGGAAUUAGAGGUUAUUCAGCCCUGUGGGAAAACCUGCAGGUUACCUAAUUGGUGUGUGUCAUCUGGCUUCAUGGAUAAAGCUCAGUAUCAUCUGCAUAGAAAUGAAAAUGCAAGCCUUCUAAUAAUACUGCCUAAGGGAAGCAUUUAUAAUGCCUGUAUAAUGCAAGCAAAG